rnacentral:lncRNA from 7 species
UUUAUUACGAAGCCAACGCAACUAGAACGGACUAAAACGGAGUUAGAUCGCAAAAGUUAUGGAUUUUCUAAGUUUAUUGAAUCACUUUAUACCCUAAAACAAUUCCCUAAUUUAAUUUAUUCAUAAUCCAUAAUUAAUGGACUGUGGUGCCUAUUGUUUAAAAGCUCAAGGUCAAAUCCGCAAAGUUUUGGACUGAUCUGCAAUUACUUUUCAAUGUGUUUGGACGGUGGGUUUAUUCUACAGAACUGAAGGGGUUCUUUUGCAAAUGGGUCUCGUACGAAGGGGUAUCCAUGAUCUCUGUCUGUCCGAUCAACGACCGAAGGCCCAGAUUAGAUCCAGUUUUAUAAUCAACCGGUACACCAAACCGCGGCCACCCGAUUUCCAUCAAACGACCAUGAUUCGAUGUCGCGAAAGGUUAUUCUCUCAUCUAAUCGCAGCCGUCGAUGCACAGAUCCACGGCCACGACACAUUCUCCCUUCCCAACACAGAGCCACGAUGGCGCCGGAGAAGACCGUGGCGGCGCGGACUCCGGUGAGGUCAAGAUCAACGUGUUGUUACCCUAUUCCUCGAACUAACGAGCGAUUUAUAGAUAGCGAUGCAAUACGAACUUGAUCGAAGGUAUCCCACCGAUGGUCGAUGUGUCGAGAUCCCCGCCCAUGGAGACGCGUCACCCAGCGGCGACCAUGGAGGUGCGGCGAGCGAUUCCGGUGGCCUAGAGCGAAAAUUCGCCCCGGCGUUGCCAUUACAAGCCACCAUGUACCCUGGCGCUUGCCCUAGCCUAAUUCUCGAUCGCCUGCCGCACAUGCUUGGUGGAUGCCCCCGCGGUAGAUCCCUUUUCCUCACUUUGCGUACCUAGGGGAAGAUGGCUACUCACACCAAUGGCUUUGCUCUGAUCACGACGGCUAUGGCACUCUGCGGCAUGGUGAUUGUUGCGGGGUGCGGGGGUUGGUGAUUU